UUUCCUUCCUUUUGCCCCAUCCCUGCAGAGAGAAGCACAAGGAGCCCCAGCCACUCCGGAAGUGCCCAAGUCUCUGUUCCACCACUGCCUUCCACCCAGAGAGCUCCUUGAUGCUAGUGCAAGCAGAUGGCGACCAGAGCUCAUCCGCACAGAGAGUGACGUCCAAGGAGCUCCUGCUGCCGGAUAUGCCCUCCUUUCAGUU